CUUCCAUUUUCUGCUCCUCCUCGUUAAACCUCUGGGGUCUUUUUGUUUGUUUUUUUUAAGAUUUUAUUUAUUUAUUUGACAGAGUGAGAGAGCACAAGCAGGGGGAGCAGCAGAGGCAGAGGGGAGAAGCAGGCUCCCCACCAAGCAGGAAGCCCAAUGCAGGACUUGACCCCAGGACCCCGAGAUCAUGACCUGAGCCAAAGGCAGACGCUUAACCGACUGAGCCACCCAGGCGUCCCUAAACCUCCGUUUUAAAGUAGUGCUCUUGAACUUGCCAACCAUAAAAAUCACCUGGGUGCCUGUUAAACCUGUGGUUACCGAUCCACUUACCCUCACUGAACCAGAGCCUUCACGGGUAGGCCUUGAAAUCGGAACUCUGGGAAGCUUCUCAGGGUUAGAGUGAAGAUGCUUUCACUUUGGCUCCAUUACCCUCAACACGCCAAGUCUGGGGCUCUGACGGUGAAGCCUGGGACAGAGGGAGCGAAGAAGGUGCAGGGCUGUGUGAGCUCUUCCCACGCGAGAGGAUACCUCAGUGACGGGAGGCUUUUGCUCAUCACAAAAAUGUUUACAUAUGAGCACAACCUUUCUCAGAGAAGGAUAACCCACAGCGCCGUAAAACAAAAUAAGUAAAAAGAAAAAAAAGAAAAAAAACAAAAACAAAACCCAAGUUGGCCGGUAAUGCAAUAAAUAAAGUUGAAACAUGAUAUUCCUUCUGAAAUCACCUCUUCUUGAUGGGGGUGUGGAGUGGGCAUUAACAUGACCUCUGGAAGUUCUUAAUAUAUGUAUGCAUUUAUAGAAACAUUGAGACAAAUAGGCUGGCUUGAGAAAAUGACUGGUGUUUUUUUUUUGCCACGGUAAUAUGUAAAUUAAAAAAUUAGAACUUUUUCUAUGUAACCAAUAAAUGAUUUUGAAUGCUGUAGAUAAACUACAGCCUU